GACAGAGGGGGCAAGCGUUGCUCGGAAUCACUGGGCGUAAAGGGCGCGUAGGCGGGAUGGCAAGUCGGUCGUGAAAUCUCUCGGCUCAACCGAGAAACGUCGGCCGAUACUGCCGUUCUUGAGGGAUGCAGAGGAGACUGGAAUUCCCGGUGUAGCGGUGAAAUGUGUAGAGAUCGGGAGGAACACCGGUGGCGAAGGCGGGUCUCUGGGCAUUUCCUGACGCUGAGGCGCGAAAGCUAGGGGAGCGAACAGG
rnacentral:rRNA from 1 species